rnacentral:rRNA from 1 species
UACGAGGGGUGCAAGCGUUGCUCGGAAUUAUUGGGCGUAAAGGGUAGGUAGGUGGUCUCAUUUGUCUGGGGUGAAAGCCUUGAGCUUAACUCAAGAAGUGCCUCGGAAACGGUGAGACUAGAGUCUUGGAGAGGGUUGCGGAAUUCCCGGUGUAGCGGUGAAAUGCGUAGAGAUCGGGAGGAACACCGAUGGCGAAGGCAGCACUCUGGGCCGGUACUGACGCUGAGGAGCGAAAGCGUGGGGAGCGAACAGG